rnacentral:rRNA from 1 species
UCCAGACUCCUACGGGAGGCAGCAGUAGGGAAUAUUGCACAAUGGGGGAAACCCUGAUGCAGCGACGCCGCGUGGGUGAAGGAGCACUUCGGUGCGUAAAGCCCUCUCGGCAGGGAAGAAAAGGGGGAAACCCCAGACGGUACCUGACUAAGAAGCCCCGGCUAACUACGUGCCAGCAGCCGCGGGAAUACGUAGGGGGCAAGCGUUAUCCGGAUUUACUGGGUGUAAAGGGAGCGCAGACGGCAGUGCAAGUCUGGAGUGAAAGCCCGGGGCCCAACCCCGGGACUGCUCUGGAAACUGUACGGCUAGAGUACGGGAGGGGCAGGCGGAAUUCCUAGUGUAGCGGUGAAAUGCGUAGAUAUUAGGAGGAACACCAGUGGCGAAGGCGGCCUGCUGGACGACAACUGACGGUGAGGCGCGAAAGCGUGGGGAGCAAACAGGAUUAGAUACCCCCGUAC